rnacentral:rRNA from 1 species
UAAGCGGAGGAAANGAAACUAACAAGGAUUCCCCUAGUAACUGCGAGUGAAGCGGGAAAAGCUCAAAUUUAAAAUCUGGUGGUCUUUGGCCAUCCGAGUUGUAAUUUAGAGAAGCGACUUCCGCGCUGGACCGUGCACAAGUCUCCUGGAAUGGAGCGUCAUAGAGGGUGAGAAUCCCGUCUUUGGCACGGACACGCCAGGGCUUUUGUGAUGCGCUCUCGAAGAGUCGAGUUGUUUGGGAAUGCAGCUCAAAAUGGGUGGUGAACUCCAUCUAAAGCUAAAUAUUGGCGAGAGACCGAUAGCGAACAAGUACCGUGAGGGAAAGAUGAAAAGCACUUUGGAAAGAGAGUGAAACAGUACGUGAAAUUGUUGAAAGGGAAACGCUUGAAGUCAGUCGCGUCGACCGAGACUCAGCCUUGCCUUGGCUUGGUGUACUUCUCGGCCGACGGGUCAGCAUCAAUUUUGCCCCUUGGAUAAUGGCGAGAGAAAUGUGACACCUUUACGGUGUGUUAUAGUCUCUUGUCGCAUGCAAGGGUCGGGAUUGAGGAACUCAGCACGCGCCUUUGGGUGUCGGGGCUUUUGCCCACGAUACGUGCUUAGGAUGUUGGCGUAAUGGCUUUAAACGACC